AGGAUGAGGAUGAGGGCUUUGAGGACAUUCAGUGUCACCAUCACGUGCCUUGCAGAGAGCAGCUUCCCGUGGGAUGGCGUCCCCAUGGAGAGCGGGAGGGUUGGGGUUUUUGGGGACCGUGUGGGGCUCCCCUGCCUGGGCAUGUCACGGCUCCAAGGGUGGCUUUGUCCCGUUCCUGGUGCCCCGUGAGGUGGCACAGCCGGGAAGGGAAGCUGGAGAUGUUCCCUCCCCGCAUCUGGGGAGAAACCUCGGGCUCAGCUUCUGGGCACGGGGUGUUGUGACACUUGGUGACACCGUCCUGUUCCCAGCAGCCUUUCGGGGAAACCGCCCGCGCUGCCCUUCCUUCCCCUUCCCCUUCCCCUUCCCGAAACUCCUCUGCGGGAUCAGCCACUGUCCCCAUCCCCCCGCGGCCCCGCUGAGCCCUCGGGGGUGUCCACAGCCCCCCCAAACCCCCACGAGGGACACAAGGGAGGGAGAAUCCCUCAGGAUGAGGGCAGCGACUUCUGGAAGGGUCCGAGCAUCCGCACGGCCACCGCCACCCCCGGCCUCGUGCGGGACACGGGUCAGGAACCCCGACAGGAGCCCCAAAAUGUCCCCGUGCCACAGGAGCCCCAAAAUGUCCCCGUGCCACAGGACCCCCACGAUGUCCCCAUGCCACAGGAUCCCCACGAUGUCCCCAUGCCACAGGAGCCCCAAAAUGUCCCCAUGCCAUAGGACCCCCACGAUGUCCCCGUGCCACAGGACCCCCAAAAUGUCCUCGUGCCACAGGAGCCCCACGAUGUCCCCAUGCCACAGGAGCCCCAAAAUGUCCCUGUGCCACAGGAUCCCCGAGAUGUCCCCGUGCCACAGGAGCCCCACGAUGUCCCCGCGGCUCUGGAAGGGGCUGCAUCUCCCCGGGGCGACGCGGAUUUGCUGCGGGGCCGCGGGAGAAGGCGGCCGGCGGGGCCAGAGGUGACAUUAUCUGCCCUCCGCGCAGGGCAGGACCCCGCCUGCCAAAUUCCCUUCAGCUUUCAAGUUUAUCUAAACAAGGGUUUCGGAGCGGGAAGGCAGCGGAGCGCUCGGCAGCCGCCGAGCCCGGGUAUUUGGAUGUUUGGCUUUGCGGGGAGCUGGGCUCCAUCCGCUCUCGGCUGCGAGGUUUUCCCAGCGCCCCUGGCAAGGCAGGGCUCAGCCCCGCGCCCCUCCGGCCCCGCGCUGGUGGCCACGAGAACCCGCAGGGCAGCAGCAGCACCGGGAUGGGGCAGGAGCGGCACGCUCCGAGGGAGAUGUCCCCGCUCGUGGCAGGGGCUGGCGGAGCCCUUUGGGGUCCCUUCCCCCCCGUGGCUGAGCCCUCUGGGGUCCCUUCCCUCCCCGGACCGUUCCGUGGCCAGUGACGUCGCCAGGCGGUUGCCGCCGUUGCCACAGCAGGCCCCGAUUGCCGCGGCCUUUCACAAGCGCGGCUCCGCUGACCUCGCCCUCAGCGGAUUUGCUUGAGCAACGCCAGUGCCCGGCCCAGCCCGGCACCUCUGGCUGCUGCCGCACGGCCCGGGGGGGGGUGGGGGGUCCUGGGGGCAGCACCCCGCCUCGGGACCCCCCAAAACCCCCUGAGCCCCCGGCAGGCUCCCAGCAUCAAAACCGACGCUUCUCCGCCCUGUGUGUCCCUGGAUUUGGCACUGGCGGAUCCUCCUGGGUGGUGCUCCUGGGUGCUCCUGGAUGUUCCGGGGUGCUCCUGAUCCUCCUGGCUGCUCCUGGAUGUUCCUGGAUCCUCCUGGGUGCUCCUGAAUGUUUCUGGAUGAUCCUGGGUGGUCCUGCAUGCUCCUGGGUGCUCCUGGAUCCUCCCAGAUCCUCCUGGAUGUUCCUGGAUGAUCCUGGGUGCUCCUGGAUCCUCCCAGAUCCUCCUGGAUGUUCCUGGAUGAUCCUGGGUGCUCCUGGAUCCUCCUGGGUGCUCCUGGAUGUUCCUGGAUCCUCCCAGAUCCUCCUGGAUGUUCCUGGGUGCUCCCGGAUCCUCCUGGGUGCUCCUGUAUCUUCCUGCAUGUUCCUGGAUCCUCCUGGGUGCUCCUGGAUGAUCCUGGAUCCUCCUGGCUGCUCCUGCAUGUUCCUGAGUGCUCUUGGAUGAUCCUGGGUGCUCCUGGAUGUUCCUGGAUCCUCCUGGCUGCUCCUGGCUGCUCCUGGCUGCUCCUGGCUGCUCCUGGGUGCUCCUGGCUGCUCCUGGAUGAUCCUGGGUGCUCCUGGCUGCUCCUGGAUGAUCCUGGAUCCUCCUGGGUGCUCCUGGCUGCUCCUGGAUGAUCCUGGAUCCUCCUGGCUGCUCCUGGAUGUUCCUGAGUGCUCCUGGAUGCUCCUGGAUGAUCCUGGAUCCUCCUGGAUGAUCCUGGGUGCUCCUGGGUGCUCCUGGCUGCUCCUGGAUGAUCCUGGCUGCUCCUGGAUGAUCCUGGGUGCUCCUGGAUGCUCCUGGAUGAUCCUGGCUGCUCCUGGAUGAUCCUGGGUGCUCCUGGGUGCUGUCCCGUGCCCGUCGCCCCCGGAUCCCGGCCCGCGGUCCCGCAGGCUCACCUGCCCUCCCCUCCCGGGGCAAACAGCUCAGCCCCGGCUUUUGCUGAGCACUGUCUAAUUAUAGAUAUUAUAUUGCAAAUGGCUUUUGGGCCUGCUAAUGGUA